rnacentral:rRNA from 1 species
AGGACCGAACCGACUAAUGUUGAAAAAUUAGCGGAUGACUUGUGGCUGGGGGUGAAAGGCCAAUCAAACCGGGAGAUAGCUGGUUCUCCCCGAAAGCUAUUUAGGUAGCGCCUCGUGAAUUCAUCUUAGGGGGUAGAGCACUGUUUCGGCUAGGGGGUCAUCCCGACUUACCAACCCGAUGCAAACUACGAAUACCGAAGAAUGUUAUCACGGGAGACACACGGCGGGUGCUAACGUCCGUCGUGAAGAGGGAAA